AUGGCAGCAAAAAUUUGGUUAGUUCCAGCAAACAUCAAAGACGGUGGUAGCAAAUUGAUACACUGGUUCCAGCAAAUACAAAACGUGGUAGCAAAAAAUUUGGUUGGUUUCAAACAGAAAUGGAAGAUGCUGGUAGCAAAAAUUCGAGCUGGUUCCAGCAAAAUCAAAUCAUGGUUCCAACAAAAAAAAUGUCGCCCGAUCUCCCUGCACUUGUCGCCGUGGUUCAGCAUCGCCGCACAGCCACCGCCGCGCUGGUUCCAGCGCCUUCACCGGCUGGUUGCAGCAAAAACGGCAGCUAGUUCCAGCAUCACCGUCUCCCCGGGGUGCACCCCGUCACUGCGGUUGCAGCACACGGAGCAUCCCCCGGUCGCCGUCGCCCGCAGUGCGUCUUCACGCACACCCGUCCUCCACGAAUUGCAGUGCGUGGUCACCGCCGUGGUAGCACCCCAGUCUCAUGGUUGCAGCACGUGGUGCACCUCCGUCUCGCAUCAUGGUGGUCAUGCCAUGGCUUGUGGCAGGAUUGAGUGA
rnacentral:rRNA from 1 species